rnacentral:rRNA from 1 species
UACGUAGGGUGCGAGCGUUGCCCGGAUUUAUUGGGCGUAAAGGGCGCGUAGGCGGCUGGCCAAGUCAGGGGUGAAAUCUUUCGGCUCAACCGGAAACGUGCCCCUGAUACUGGCCGGCUUGAGGAGGGUAGGGGCGGAUGGAACUUCCGGUGGAGCGGUGAAAUGCGUAGAUAUCGGAAGGAACGCCGGUGGCGAAAGCGAUCCGCUGGACCCUUUCUGACGCUGAGGCGCGAAAGCCAGGGGAGCGAACGGG